rnacentral:misc_RNA from 1 species
AUAAAGAGAAAAGGUAAACAAUGCAUGUGCUUUGCGUGGAAAGACACUAAAUAAAAAGAGACAAGCACUUGCAGUAAUAACAAUACAGGUAAGUAGUAGACUGGAGUGGAGACGACGGAAAAACAGGUAAUAAAAGAGAUACUACACUGGAACAAAGACGAGACAAAACAGCUACAGGGAAGACUAGAAGCAUCGGCCAGCAUAGCAAAACACAAUGCUUGUAAAGACAUUGCGUUGCAUACCGGCCGACCCCGUCGUCCCCCCUGGUCGUCGAAAUUGGCGUCAUCCAGAGUCGUCAGAGGUAGCUGCAAUUAGCACCUCGUCGUCGUUGUGGCUGUGGCUGCCCUCUUGGAGAACCAGUGGCACUGGUCCGGCCACCAGCUGGGAGCCAGGAGUAGACGGCACAUAUAUUACUGUGGCGACACGGGUCCGGCCGCCAAAGUGAAAUGGAUGACCAUAGGGCACUCUGAAUGCCAUGGCACUGGAUCCGGCCACCAGCUAAGGACGAUGGCGAUGGCAUAACUCGAACGGCACAGGUCCGGCCGCCCAAGUGUAGUGGAUGUUUGUGUGUGUGUUGAUGUUUUAUUUAACGGCUUUGAUGGCGGCAGCGUCCGUUGUUCAUUUUUGUUGUGGCAUGCGAUUGAUAUGCAUUUGUCUUUUAUCUUUUAAUCCAUUGCAGUGGCAGAGAUGUGUCCAAUCAGUACACAGCGUUCCAGGAUAUCUGGUUGUCAAGAUGGAUCCGUCUCUGGAGUGGCGGCUGGCGUUGGCCCUAACGUUUCUUGUGGUGGCUGUGGAGCUGGGGCAGCCACUGUUGCUGCUGCCAUUGUUGGUGGAUUAUCGGAUGUCACUGGAACUGCUGGAGUUGCCGUCACUGCCUGGGAUUGGA